rnacentral:rRNA from 1 species
GAUGAACGCUGGCGGCGUGCCUAAUACAUGCAAGUCGAGCGAACAGAUAAGGAGCUUGCUCCUUUGACGUUAGCGGCGGACGGGUGGGUAACACGUGGGUAACCUACCUAUAAGACUGGGAUAACUUCGGGAAACCGGAGCUAAUACCGGAUAACAUUUGGAACCGCAUGGUUCUAAAGUGAAAGAUGGUUUUGCUAUCACUUAUAGAUGGACCCGCGCCGUAUUAGCUAGUUGGUAAGGUAACGGCUUACCAAGGCGACGAUACGUAGCCGACCUGAGAGGGUGAUCGGCCACACUGGAACUGAGACACGGUCCAGACUCCUACGGGAGGCAGCAGUAGGGAAUCUUCCGCAAUGGGCGAAAGCCUGACGGAGCAACGCCGCGUGAGUGAUGAAGGGUUUCGGCUCGUAAAACUCUGUUAUUAGGGAAGAACAAACGUGUAAGUAACUGUGCACGUCUUGACGGUACCUAAUCAGAAAGCCACGGCUAACUACGUG